UAGACAUUAUUGUACUUGUAUUGAUCGUUUACUAGGUGCUGGGGGAAAAGAUUACUUCCCAGAUGCAGUAUUUACAUCUCCUCCGCCCUACUCUUCCAACCCUGCCUGAAAUAAGUGUGGUUCUCCUGUCUGUCAGACUAUGAAGAGUUCUCAAAUAUGUCUUUCCCAGCGAGGGAGAGGAGAAAACUUCAGCCUCCACGAUCGAUGUUUCUCAAGUGUCAAGGAAAAUGGAGCCUAGGAGGGCAGCCCCACAAGCAGCGUGAUGGGCAUUUAAGCCGACGCAUGUGCCAGGUCCUAGAACAGAGUAACUUCC
rnacentral:lncRNA from 1 species